UACGGAGGGAGCUAGCGUUGUUCGGAAUUACUGGGCGUAAAGCGCGUGUAGGCGGCUUGGCAAGUCGGGUGUGAAAGCCCUGGGCUCAACCUAGGAAGUGCACUCGAAACUGCCUCGCUGGAGUGCCGGAGAGGAAAGCGGAAUUCCUGGUGUAGCGGUGAAAUGCGCAGAUAUCAGGAAGAACACCCGUGGCUAAGGCGGCUCUCUAGUACGGUACUGACGCUGAGACGCGAAAGCGUGGGGAGCGAACAGG
rnacentral:rRNA from 1 species